UACGUAGGGGGCUAGCGUUGUCCGGAAUCAUUGGGCGUAAAGCGCGUGUAGGCGGUUCGGUAAGUCCGCUGUGAAAGUCGGGGGGCUCAACCCUCGGAUGCCGGUGGAUACUGUCGGGCUUGAGUACGGAAGAGGCGAGUGGAAUUCCUGGUGUAGCGGUGAAAUGCGGCAGAUAUCAAGGAGGAACACCAAUUGCGAAGGCAGCUCGCUGGGACGUUACUGACGCUGAGACGCGAAAGCGUGGGGAGCAAACAGG
rnacentral:rRNA from 1 species